GAGCGGAUGAAGAGAGCUUGCUCUCUGAUUCAGCGGCGGACGGGUGAGUAAUGCCUAGGAAUCUGCCUGAUAGUGGGGGACAACGUUUCGAAAGGAACGCUAAUACCGCAUACGUCCUACGGGAGAAAGCAGGGGACCUUCGGGCCUUGCGCUAUCAGAUGAGCCUAGGUCGGAUUAGCUAGUUGGUGAGGUAACGGCUCACCAAGGCGACGAUCCGUAACUGGUCUGAGAGGAUGAUCAGUCACACUGGAACUGAGACACGGUCCAGACUCCUACGGGAGGCAGCAGUGGGGAAUAUUGGACAAUGGGCGAAAGCCUGAUCCAGCCAUGCCGCGUGUGUGAAGAAGGUCUUCGGAUUGUAAAGCACUUUAAGUUGGGAGGAAGGGCAUUAACCUAAUACGUUAGUGUUUUGACGUUACCGACAGAAUAAGCACCGGCUAACUUCGUGCCAGCAGCCGCGGUAAUACGAAGGGUGCAAGCGUUAAUCGGAAUUACUGGGCGUAAAGCGCGCGUAGGUGGUUUGUUAAGUUGAAUGUGAAAGCCCCGGGCUCAACCUGGGAACUGCAUCCAAAACUGGCAAGCUAGAGUAUGGCAGAGGGUGGUGGAAUUUCCUGUGUAGCGGUGAAAUGCGUAGAUAUAGGAAGGAACACCAGUGGCGAAGGCGACCACCUGGGCUAAUACUGACACUGAGGUGCGAAAGCGUGGGGAGCAAACAGGAUUAGAUACCCUGGUAGUCCACGCCGUAACGAUGUCGACUAGCCGUUGGGAUCCUUGAGAUCUUAGUGGCGCAGCUA
rnacentral:rRNA from 1 species